rnacentral:rRNA from 1 species
UGAGCGUGCGGGCGAUACGGGCAGACUUGAGUACUGCAGGGGAGACUGGAAUUCCUGGUGUAGCGGUGGAAUGCGCAGAUAUCAGGAGGAACACCGGUGGCGAAGGCGGGUCUCUGGGCAGUAACUGACGCUGAGGAGCGAAAGCGUGGGGAGCGAACAGGAUUAGAUACCCUGGUAGUCCACGCCGUAAACGGUGGGUACUAGGUGUGGGUUUCCUUCCUUGGGAUCCGUGCCGUAGCUAACGCAUUAAGUACCCCGCCUGGGGAGUACGGCCGCAAGGCUAAAACUCAAAGAAAUUGACGGGGGCCCGCACAAGCGGCGGAGCAUGUGGAUUAAUUCGAUGCAACGCGAAGAACCUUACCUGGGUUUGACAUGCACAGGACGCCGGCAGAGAUGUCGGUUCCCUUGUGGCCUGUGUGCAGGUGGUGCAUGGCUGUCGUCAGCUCGUGUCGUGAGAUGUUGGGUUAAGUCCCGCAACGAGCGCAACCCUUGUCUCAUGUUGCCAGCGGGUAAUGCCGGGGACUCGUGAGAGACUGCCGGGGUCAACUCGGAGGAAGGUGGGGAUGACGUCAAGUCAUCAUGCCCCUUAUGUCCAGGGCUUCACACAUGCUACAAUGGCCGGUACAAAGGGCUGCGAUGCCGCGAGGUUAAGCGAAUCCUUUUAAAGCCGGUCUC